GACGAACGCUAGCGGCGUGCCUAAGCUAUGCAAGUCGAGCGGGGUUUCAGAGUCGAGUUUCCUUCGGGAGACAAAGCACUGAAACCUAGCGGCGAACGGGUGAGUAACACGUGAGCAACCUACCCUGUUGUCUGGGAUAACAGACCGAAAGGCCUGCUAAUACCGGAUACGAAGCUCCUUCGCAUGUUGGAGCUUGGAAAGGGGCAACCCGCAAUGGGAGGGGCUUACGGCCUAUCAGCUAGUUGGUGAGGUAACGGCCCACCAAGGCGACGACGGGUAGCCGACCUGAGAGGGUGACCGGCCACACUGGGACUGAGACACGGCCCAGACUCCUACGGGAGGCAGCAAGCGGGAAUCUUGCACAAUGGGCGCAAGCCUGAUGCAGCGACGCCGCGUGAGGGAUGAAGGCCUUCGGGUCGUAAACCUCUGUUGAUGGGGACGAAGAUCUGAC
rnacentral:rRNA from 1 species